AGAAUCAACGCUGGCGGCGUGCCUAACACAUGCAAGUCGCACGAGAAAGGGGAGCAAUCCCUGAGUAAAGUGGCGCACGGGUGAGUAACACGUGAAUUAUCUACCUCCGAGUGGGGAAUAACCUAGAGAAAUCUGGGCUAAUACCGCAUAACACUUACGAGUCAAAGCAGCAAUGCGCUUGGAGAGGAGUUCGCGGCCGAUUAGCUAGUUGGCGGGGUAAUGGCCCACCAAGGCGAUGAUCGGUAUCCGGCCUGAGAGGGCGCACGGACACACUGGAACUGAAACACGGUCCAGACUCCUACGGGAGGCAGCAGUGGGGAAUUUUGCGCAAUGGGGGAACCCUGACGCAGCAACGCCGCGUGGAGGAUGAAUAUCUUGGUAUGUAAACUCCUUUCGAUGGGGAAGAUUAUGACGGUACCCAUAGAGAACGCCCGGCUAACUUCGCGCCAGCAGCCGCGGUAA
rnacentral:rRNA from 1 species